rnacentral:lncRNA from 1 species
GCACGCCCGCCCGCCUAAAUAUCGCGAGACCGGUCGUGCGGCCCGCGACAGAGUUCGCGCGCGCGCGGCGUGGACGCGGCCUUUGCGGAGCUGCGUGUCGGGCCGAGAAGAGAGAGCGGUUAGCCUAGGUGAAAUUCCGAUGGUCCUACCACUCGGUAGAUUUCUCAGAUCACAGGAUUACUCGGUGACGCAGGCAACGUUUGAAUCCCGCUGUUGUUUUCCAGAAGCCGUUUUCACGGCUGUUUCUAAACGAUGCCUGAUCAUGUCUGCCCUUUAGCUUCUUAGGGGUGGGUAGGGCGAGAUUACCCACCUCCAAACCUGAGACUAUUCAGAUGGUGAUAGUGUUAGGGCUCUCAGACAUAAGAUGUGUAAUAAUUAAAAGUACUUUGUGGGAUGCCCCGUAGCAUUUAGUUUUGUUUUUUAAAUCCCUGACAUCUAUAGAUUGUGCCAGAUCCUUCAUCCUAAAAAGGGCGAGCCACUAGCCUGAUUGCAUUUUGGCCGUUCCUUCGGAGUCACUUUGUGGUAGAAUUAUCCUGGAUUCUUGUAGAGUUCUUACUACGAGAAGGUGACAUGAAAUUGACAGUCUUCCAGCACUCCGUUCCGAGGGAAAUCCAAAACCUGUCCAGCAGGAGGCAACAAAGACCUCAUCUUCUGCUCAGGAACCCAAGGAGCCCCUCCCUUCAAAGAGCGGAGCGGGAGGCUCUCAAGCCUUCAGAUCACAGAAGAGACUCCUCAGUAGUCUAGCUAUGACAACCUAUGCUCCAGUGCGUAACAAUGUGUUGCUGGGAACCCCGUACCGCCCAAAUGCUGGCAAUGCUCCACCACAGACUUCUAUCCCCCCUCGCCACCCCCCCCCCGUAGCGGCACACCCUCAUCACGAGCCAAAGUGGAAGAAGUCAGAGCAUCACGAGUGUACAUUUGCUGCACACGCUGCACUCACCAGGCAGGACCUGAGUAACG